rnacentral:lncRNA from 1 species
CAACCUAAAAGCUUAAACUGUUAAAUAAAAUUUUAAAAAUUUAUUUAUAUUAUUUUUUAACACGCUGCUGCAAAUAUCGGAAAAAAGUCACACUUACUAUGAUACUAUCGACCGAACUCUGGAGGAUAGCUACAAACUGGCUUGUUCAAGUCCUAGAUACACAUAUAUUCUUAGAUACACGCAUAUUCUUGGAUAUUAUUGCUGACAAAGUAAGCAAGAGGGUGUGUGUUUAAUUUGUUUCUGUAGAGAUGGAUAGCAGCUUCCGAUCAGAAAGGCGACUCCUCCGUCCUAUCAAAGAAACAACCAGAAGGACCACCAUUAGGCAGCAGAGCUAGCCUAACUACAUUUUCAGCACCUUCUUCAACAGGACGUAUGCCUGUAUUGAAGUUUAUAUCUGUUUUAACAUAACCAGGGCAGACACAGUUGAUAAAGAAAGUUGGGUGCUUCUUGGCCAGGACCCGUGUGUAGGCACUCAUAGCUGCUUUCGAGAGUAUAUAUGCAGAACUCAUAGCAGGCCAGCCUUCCGUUUCCAAAGAAUCCUCUUUGAAAUCUUCUAAAUACUUGCUCAAAACCUCAUCCACUCUCUCUUCUGUAAGGUUUUCAGCAUCACCUAGCACUCCUUUAGCCCAUUCAUUUGAUACACCCUGUAAAGACAUCACAAGAGAAGUCUGUAAUGAUUGCUCCUACCAAAUCAAGUAACAUCUAGCAGUGUAGUAAAGCCUGUUUGAGAUUUUCAGUGGAUGAAUGAAGAACUGCAUUUCCAGAAGUUUUCUUUCGUUUCAACUUGGUUGGAUUUUAACCCAGUCAGAAACUGAAAUCAUAUCUUAUUAGUUUCUUCACCAAGAAAACACCGAAUUUUUUCUUGAGAAGUCCUGUAAGGUAUUACCUUCAACUUUCCCAUGGAAGAGGAAACAUUAACAAUUCUUGGUGAAUCGGACAAUUGGAGUAAGGGAAUAAGUGCUUCGGCCAUUCUCUUUGCACCAUAAUAGUUUAUUCUCAGGCACUCUUCGGCUAACUCCCAAGUUUGAGUGAUAAAUUGAUUAAGUUCACUCCAAUUGAUCUUUGCACCUUCCUGCAUCAAUGAAAUGAAACUCAAUCAUCUUGGCAGCUAUAUGCAUCACUGUCAAUCAUACAGGAGAAGGAAUUUUCGAGGUGAUAACAUGAUCCUGUCUGCAUAUCCCACAAAUCUGGAAAAAGUCUUGUAUAGUAAAUCUGAUCUAAACAUCACCUGUAAUGGCCGCAUAUGUGUAGGAAAAUGAAAAACACAGAUAUAAGCAAUAAUCUUUACCAUCACAGUAACUUGCACGAUCCUAUAUGAAUUACUGAGAGAAAAUAUAGCGAAGACUGGAGAUUCCAGGAAAUUCUUAGAUCCUGGCUAAUACAAAAGUUUCAGCCUCGACAUCACCCUUCAGACAGGUAAGAAGUCUAACCUCAAUUAACGGUAAAGCUAAUUACUCUUCCUUUGAACUUCAUCAAAAAUCUUCAUUUAGAGACUUACCUUAGCCGAAAUGGCAGCCUUUAAAGCAUCCCCAUCUGUUUUGACUCCACCUACUCCUGCAUUGUUCACCUGUGCAUAGUUCCAACAUUUUCAUCAGACAAUGGAGUCGGAACAGAAAAUAGUCAAAUACAAACAGAUACACAUACACUGACAGAUGAAAACCUGUUGGUAAAUAACAAUAACUUUUACCGAAGGAAUAUUACCUUGCUAUUUCCCUUGUUAUUGUACCGACAAUAAUUUUCCAUCAAAGAAUAAGAGAAUUACAGUUGCAAAUCAAAAAAUGAAAAAAAAACAAGAAAAAGAAAAAUAACUUGUCAUUAUCACAAACAAAAAUACCGAGGGAAUAUGCUCGUUCUUAAUGCCCGUCAGUGAAUCCAUCGAUAAUAUUUAAGUUAUAACCUUAUAGACGACCCCCCCUCUACCCCUCUCUAAUUUCUUCUUCUUCCUCCUUUUUAUUUUAAAAAAAAAGAAAUUCUACACACACACAACACCCCUAUAUUUUGUCACAAAUUAAGCUCCCAUCAUCACAAAUCCAGCCACUCCAAUACUCAGUUUAUCAGUAUAUCCUUGGUAUGGUUUAAUUGUUUUUGAAGAUUUGUCACAUCAAGUAAAUAUAACUAUCCAUUUUUUGUUGCAACUUAUUUUUAAAAUGUUAAUUUUUUUUUGUCAUUUUGAUGUAAUAUAUGUAUUUUAUUUAUGUGUUUACUUAUUUUAUAGUUUUUUUAUAUAGAAAUUUGUUGUAUGAAUAUAUCAUUUAUACAUGAUAGGGUUUGUUUGAGAUUUUAAAAAUUAUAUUUGUUUGUCAUUUGAUGAAAUUUAAUUUAAUUUUGUAACUUGGGUGUUUUAUAAUGAAAUAAAUAAUAACUUAUUUAAUGAGUACGUUUCAUAUUUUAUCAAUUUUAUUGUUAAGUUGAAAAUUUUGAUAAAUUUGAAGGAAUUUGAAUUUUUAUAGAAAAUUAAUAAUGAUUUAAGGGUACUAUCAAAAUAAAUUGGAUAAUUUUAAGUUAAACCAAUGAUAACUAAUUAUUUGGUUAUUAAUAUUUUUUUUUAGUUCACAUUAGUAAUUAAACAUAUUGUCAUCAAUAUUUAUAUAAGUUUCAUAUAAUUAUGGAUGAUCAUUGUUAUAUGUAUUAAAUUUCACCUGAAAAGUUGUAUAGAAUGAAUUAUUGUAAUGAGGUUGAUGGUUUUAUAUUUAUAUCAUUAAAAACAAGAUACGUAAUCUAAUCAUCAAAAGAGAUAUCUAUAAAAAUAUGGUGUUGGCUGAGGUAGUAGAUAAGUUGCAACUUAAGAUAGAGAAUAAUCACAUGCCCUACAAACUAAAUUGGCUUAAUUAAGAUAAUGAGGUAAUUAUAGACAAACAUUGUCCUGCUUUGUUUUCUAUAAAGGAUAUUUUAAUAGUUUUUGAUGUGAUAUAGUUACUAUGUCAUUGACUAUUAGGCGGGUCAUGGAAAUAUGAUACGAAUGUAUAUACAUGGCAAACAUCGUAUACCUUUAAUUAAAGGGGAAGCAUAUAAUGUUAAUGUCUGGAAUAGAAUAGAAUGGGUAGUUGUCGAGAUUAAAAGUAAAAAUAUACUGUUUUUAUCCUAAUUUAUUGAAAAGGAAGAGAAAAAUGAGAUUAUAAUGAAUUAGAAUGAUGUGACAAAUGAUGCAAUGUGAAAUAAUAUGAACGACUAGUAAUGAUUAUAUAAAGAUUUAUAAUGUUUUGCGAAUUUAUUCUUAGCCUGUUAUAUCUAAGUCAGCCUACUAUACAGUGAUAGCACACUACAAAUUAGUGGAGCCCAAGGUGCUAACAUUUUAUUUAAUAGUCAACAAUAACAACAACAUAGACACAUAUAUGGCUAGAACUAGGCAAGUUCUAGCAACCCGAGGAGAAUAAUAUAAGAAAUCUUUUCAUAAUUCACAAUUUUAAAUGCUCAAUUUACUUUUGGGUUAUCAUUCCAUGGUCAUCGAAGGUCGAGAAGGCCUUCAAAUAAAAACCCAAACAUUAUUGUUCAUGAUUUAUAAUAUUUUCUUUGUUGAUUUAGGUUUAUUUUUUUUAUUUAGUUUAGAUUAUUAUUUUUUCAACUUUGAUUAGAAUGUUUUUCCUAGUAUAGAAGCAGAAUUGCUAUAUAUAAUAUAGAGUUUUGAUUAGAUAAAAUAUUGAAUAAAAUUUUAAAUUUGAGGUUUUGAAGAAGAACAAGGAAUCUAGAGCAUUGAAGAAACCAGGCUUUAAUCAUACCAAGAUAUCAAGCUUUCCAAAUUGGCUUUUGAUGAAAUCUGCCAAAGAAGCGAUACUGUUGAUAUCAGCCACAUCAAGUUGAUGAAAAACCACAAAAUCUGAGAGACCAGACUCCUUGAGCUUUUGAACAGAUUCAAGGCCUCUCUUCUCAUUUCUGGAAGUCAAGACCACCACAAUCCCUUUAGAAGCCAACUGCCUACAAAUCUCGAACCCAAUACCCUUGUUUGCUCCUGUAACCACUGCAUAACUGGAAAAAAAAACAAAAAAAUGUCACCAAGAAGCAGCAGCUUUUAAUUAUUGGGCCCAUGCGUGUAAUGAAAGAAUACCUCUUGGUUGCUUCUGCCAUCGAUUAUAGGAUUUGAGAACUCGAGAGAGACACAAGCUUGAAGUCUCUUUGUCUCUUUGUCCACAGUAGUGGUUAAGGGAAUCUCUUGCCUUAUUUAUACUAUCAUCAAGCAGUACCGGUCCAAGUUUAUGUAGUCCACAGAGUUUUUAAACCCGGUUUGGUGGUCAACCCGGUCUAAGGUUUGGAUCACGGGUUUUACCCGCGCCAACUCUAUUUUUUUUAGAAAUUAAAAUAAUAUUAUUUUAAUUUUAAAAAAUAAAUAGUCAAUGGUCGAAUUAUGUUUUUAACUGGGUCUUACUUGGUUAACUGAAUCACUAGAUUAACCUAUUAAAUUAACUAGAUUUUUGAUUUUUUUGAUUUUUUCUCUAACCCGCCUACGUUCUAGUUCUGGGUUCUCAAUAAACCAGACUAGAUUUUAAAAUUAUAAUACGAGAACGAAAAAAAAAUCGCUAACCGGACAACUCUUGGCUGGAAUGAGGACCACUUAACUAAUGAAUGGAUUAUGAGAGAUGAACUUGGCACCAUAAAAAAAAUACAGACCACGUCAUAGUUCAUAAAUCGUGAGGCUUUAGUAAGACCUAAUUGAUUACGAAAGGAUUGUAUGAAAGAAUAUUUGAUUGAUUUUGUGUUACAACAAUGAAGUGUCUCACCCAAUAUCAUAAUGAAAUUAUGAAAAUUCAUAAGGAGUUUAUAAUAAUUAAAAAUUCUCUAUCAAGAAGUUAAUUAUAUAUAUAUAUAUAUAUAUAUAUAUAUAUAUACUCUUAAAGUAUCCUACCUAAAAUAUUUUUUUUUUGAAUGAAUGAAUAAAUGAAUAAAUAAAUAAAGAAGAGAAAAUUCUAGCAUGUAUUAUUUCUAAAAUAAAAAAUAAAGAUAAAAUAAAAGGACGUGUUAAAUAUAUAUUUUUUGUUUUUUUGUUUUAUUAUAUAUUUAAAAAAAAUAUUAUAACGAUUUUACUGGUAUGAUAUCAAGUUAUUAUCAAUAGAAAAAGUAAGCUGGAAAGGUAUUGCAAGUAUAGUUUUAAAACUCAACCCAACGAGUUGACUUGGAACCUAACUAAUUCGAGGUUAGAACCGGACUAAGUUUAUAAAAAAAUAAGAGUAGUUAAAAACCUGGCCAACCCGACAGGUUGAUCCGAUGAUCUAACAAGACCCUGUCAAAAACUCGUUAGCUAUUUUUAUUUUUAAUUUUUUUUUAUCAAAACAACGUUGUUUUUAUUUAUAAAAACAAAUAUGGUUGAUCCGGGUGACCCGGUCAAAACCCGUGUGACCCAAACUUUGGACUGGAUCGACCAUCAAAUCGGGUUUAAAAAUACUCAUCGCAAGGCAUCCAUCACCUCACGGAUUUGGAUUCACUUCUAAAAAAACAUUUUAUUCAUUACGUACAUGAACACACACAAACACAAAAUCAAAGACUCUUAAUUUUUUUUUUAACGAAAAACCUCUUUUUUAUCAUGGAUUAGAAAUAAACAAACAUACAAACAUGAAAUCAAAAGACCCCUCCUUUUUUACGAAACUUUCCUACCAUUUUUUUUAUAUUAAAAUUGUACACAAACGUAUGCACAAAGAUAUGCAGUUCAUGAUUCUAUCCAUAUUUGUCAAAACAUUAUUCACACAUGACAAUUAUUUUGCAGUUCCAACCAUGUGUAAACUCUGAAUGCAGGAUGCAUGUAAAUCAAAACAUAUUUGUACAUAUGAAAAUCUCAGCACUCUCACACCUCAACAUCCCCACAAAAAUUUAAACUUGCAUCAAUUAUCAAAGCCCCGUCAAAAUAUUGCAUUUAGAUACAAAUCAUUAAAAAAAAGAAGGGUAAAUCACAUGGGAUUGAAGUUAACCUCUUGAGAGCUGCUGGAACUUGACCGAAAACCGCUGGAAUUGGGUGGAACCGAAAGGGGCAGUAGUGGCGCUUGGAGUGUACGCACUGACUGAUUGAACUCAGGCGGAGGAUGCUCCUCACGCGCUGCCUCUGACUUCGAAGUGGAUUUGCAAAAGCAUGGAGGCUGGAAUUCAGGACUGCUGUGGCUGAAUUUCCAGCAGAGAGGAUGGAGACUGGAAUUCAGGACUGCCGUGGUUGAGUUUCUUGCAGAGAGGAGAGGAUCUUGGUUGUCAUUGGCAAGGAGAUUGGACUCAGAUGAUGGCGGCGGUCUAGUUAAGGUAUACCAGUGAGUGACAGGGACUAUUCUAAGCAAUAAUGUAAAACUGACCAAGUGUGACAAUGGAAAAGCCCAUCAAGUAGUGUAGACAACUGAUGAAACACCAAGGCAGAGAUUUUAUGAUUAUUCAAUACGUUUAGAUAUGCAACUUCAUGUAAUAGAUUUGAACUAGUGUCAAGUCCCCGAGGCCCUCUCCCCAUCCUUGGAAAAUCUUGAGGCUGCUAAAGCAUCAGAGUCUGAAUACUUUGCCCAGCCCUGCAUUGUUCACAUGCACAGAUUUCCAGCAGGCAUAGUGCAUUUGACUGUUGCUAUUGCUUUAGCAAAUCCUCUCAAUAACCAUUAGUUUAUUUCCAGUCAUGUGAAGAAUCCAUAUCCUCAGUAAUCAUACAAAGUCAUUAUUAAUGUUUCAAAAAACAUUGAUCGGUAGCAUGAUUUAUUCCAAAAUUUUCCAAAUCAUCAAUGGCCAUUCAAUUGUUCUCUACUGAUUGAAUUACAUCAAGCUUGAUCUUGAAUUUUGAGACCCGCUGAUUCAUCUAUGCAUCAAGCUUGAUCUCUACUGAUUGAUAAGAGACCCGCGGUUUGUUCCGUGUACGCCUAAAGGGUGCAUAGAGUUGUUGCAUAGAUAUGCUGUUGAAAUCAAAGGGAAGAGAGCUGUUGUGAUUGGUCGGAGCAAUAUUGUUGGGAUGCCGGCUGCUUUAUUGCUUCAGGUAAUUCAGUUUUCGUGAAAGUGAGUGUUUUUUCAUUUUCUGUUACCUUUUGAUCUUAUCAGAUAUAUGUGUAAUGUUUCUGAAUCUGUCCUUUUUUAAACUCGUCUUGAUGUUUUUGAUACUGUAAGAGGGAAGAUGCUACAGUGAGCAUUGUCCAUUCUAGAACCAAGAACCCCGAGGAGAUUGUAAAACAUGCAGAUAUAAUAAUCUCUGCCGUAGGGCAACCAAAUAUGGUGAGAGGCAGCUGGUUAAAACCCGGCGCAGUUGUAAUUGAUGUUGGAAUUAAUCCAGUUGAGGUGAGAAGAGUUCUAUAGUGGCCUGUGGUUUUUCUUUCCUCAAAAUGCUUUCCUGGUUAAUUUCUUAUGCGAUUGGCCAUUUCUAUUUGUAUGCAUGCAUGUGUAAAAGGAUGCAAAAAGCCCUCGAGGUUACAAAUUGGUUGGAGAUGUCUGCUAUGAGGAGGCCUGCAAAGUUGCUUCAGCCGUCACUCCAGUUCCUGGAGGUGUUGGUCCUAUGACUAUAGCAAUGCUCCUCUCCAAUACUCUCAGCUCAGCAAAGAGGACACACAACUUCCAGUGACUACUGUGAGAUUUUAAAGAUCAAUGCUUAAUAGGAUACGGGUGGCUUCUCAGGGACCAUGUUGGUGUUUGCUUGAGCUCCCAUUUCCUCUCAGGGAGAAGUUAGUUUCAGCCACUGCGCUGCCUUUGUAGUAGUUGAUCUUUUUUGGCAAAGUGAGGUUUUAUGCAGUUUUAAGACAUUCUAUAUAGCUAGGAAAAUUGGACAACAGAUUCUGGGAGUUUAGACCCUACUUUACAUAAUGCUGAGAGCUUGUAGGUUCAACCACAUUUGAAUUGGCCAUUAUUGUCAUAUGUCAAUCCAAAACCAGCAUUCCAUCUUGGACAGCUUUAGCUAUUUUAAUUCACCAGAUUUAUGGGUGCUUACAGAAUCAAUUUUAGAACUGAUCAGUCCCAGGUUCAGAUGUCUCGAACAAGUCAACUAAUCGACACAAGACAGCAAUUGUGGAUUGGAUUCAUAUGUUAUCUACGUCUAAUUUUCAACAAAAUAACAAAAUUGAAAAAAAAAAAUAUUGUAACAAAAGAAUCUAAAAAAAAAACCGAUGUCAAAUUAGAUUAACCUUUUAAAAUUAUGAUCCAGGUUAUAAGACUGAUAUUAUCUCACUAAAAAAAAAUAAAAAAAUCUAAUUCCUGCUCAAUCUAACAUAAGUCAAGGUUGAAACCUUAAAAAAAUUAUUCAAAAAAGAACCCAAAAAAAAAAAAAAGAGGAGCAAUCAAGAAACAAAAACAGUUAUAUAUAUAUAUAUAUAUAUAUAUAUAAACAAAUAAAUUAAAUUAUAAUUUUAGAAAUUAUUUUAAAAAUAAGUUUUUAACAUAAAUUUUUAAUAUGAUAAUGUUUUUUUUUAAAAAAUGUUUAAGUUUUAUUCCUUAAGAUUUCUAUUUUAUUUUGCAAAAUGAUCUCUCUUUAAACAUUUUCAUUUUUUUAAAAAAAAUGUUAUCCAUUUUUUACACCAAUUUUCAGUUGAUAUGUUUUUAUUUUAUUUGUUUCUUAGAUAAUAUAUAGGUUAGGAUUUAUUUUAGUGAUGAAAUAAGUUCUUAGUCCAGUUGAAAACACAGCACAUUUCAGAUUAAAAAUUUGUGAAUGACUAACUCAUAUACCAGUAUAUACUCUAUCCAGGUAAGUAUAUAAUUAAUCUGCCAUUUGAGAUCAUUGUGUCAGCAAGCAAAACCAAUCAGACAUGCGCUGCAUGCAUGAACAUUGGAAAAAAGUCACACUUACUAUGAUACUAUCGACCGAACUCUGGAGGAUAGCUACAAACUGGUUUGUUCAAGUCUUAGAUACACAUAUAUUCUUAGAUAUACGUAUAUUCUUAGAUACACGUAUAUUCUUAGAUACACGUAUAUUCUUAGAUAUUAUUGCUGACAAAGUAGCAAGAGGGUGUAGGUUUAAUUUGUUUCUGUAGAGAUGGAUAGCAGCUUCCGAUCAGAAAGGCGACUCCUCCGUCCUAUCAAAGAAACAACCAGAAGGACCACCAUUAGGCAGCAGAGCUAGCCUAACUACAUUUUCA